GACGAACGCUGGCGGCGUGCUUAACACAUGCAAGUCGAACGGUGAAGCGCCUUCCUUUUUGGUUGGUGUGGAUGAGUGGCGGACGGGUGCGUAACACUUGAGUAACCUUGCCCCUUCUUCUGCAUAACCGCAUGAAAGUGUGUCUAAUACGGGAUCUUCUGCGUCUGUCGCAUGAUGGGUCUGGGUAAGAUGUUGUGGCGGUGGGGGAUGGGCUCGCGGCCUAUCAGCUGGUUGGUGGGGGAGUGGCCUACCAAGGCGAGGACGGGUGGCCGGCCGGAGAGGGAGAGCGGCCACAUUGGGACUGAGAUACGGCGCAGACGCCGACGGGAGGGAGCAGUGGGGGAUAUUGCAGAAUGGGCGGAAGCCGGAUGCAGCAACGCCGCGUGCGGGAUGACGGCCUUCGGGUUGUAAACCGGUUUCGCCGGUGACGAAGGGUGAGUGACGGUAAUGGGUAAAGAAGCACCGGCUCACUACGUG
rnacentral:rRNA from 1 species